rnacentral:tRNA from 1 species
GCUCAAUUGUUAAAAUACAAGGCUCUUAACCUUGUGGUCGUGGGUUCGAGCCCCACAGUGGGCU